rnacentral:rRNA from 1 species
UACCAGCUCUUCGAGUGGUGUGGAUGUUUAUUGGGCCUAAAGCAUCCGUAGCUGGCUGGGCAAGUCCCCUGUUAAAUCCACCGAUUUAAUCGUUGGAGUGCGGGGGAUACUGUUCGGCUAGGGGACGGGAGAGGCAGACGGUACUUUCGGGGUAGGGGUGAAAUCCUAUAAUCCCGGGAAGACCACCAGUGGCGAAGGCUGUCUGCUAGAACGCGCCCGACGGUGAGGGAUGAAAGCUGGGGGAGCGAACCGGAUUAGAUACCCGGGUAGCCCCAGCUGUAAACGAUGCAGGCUAGGUGUUUGGGCGGCCACGUGCCGCUCUAGUGCCGCAGGGAAGCCGUUAAGCCUGCCGCCUGGGGAGUACGGCCGCAAGGCUGAAACUUAAAGGAAUUGGCGGGGGAGCACCACAAGGGUGAAGCUUGCGGUUU